rnacentral:rRNA from 1 species
AUUGAACGCUGGCGGCAGGCCUAACACAUGCAAGUCGAGCGGAGCGGCGGACGGGUGAGUAAUUCAUAGGAAUCUGCCUGGUAGUGGGGGAUAACAUCCGGCAACGGGAGCUAAUACCGCAUACUAUCAGAUGAGCCUAGGGCGGAUUAGCUGGUUGGUGGGGUAAAGGCCUACGAAGGCGACGAUCCGUAACUGGUAUGAGAGGAUGAUCAGUCACACUGGAACUGAGACAGGGGCCAGACUCCUACGGGAGGCAGCGGUGGGGAAUAGUGGACAAGGGGCGAAAGCCGGAUCCAGCCAUGCCGCGUGUGUGAAGAAGUUCUUCGGAUUGUAAAGCCCUUUAAGUUGGGAGGCGUUACCAACAGAAUAAGCACCGGCUAACUUCGUGCCAGCAGCCGCGGUAAUAC